CCAAUAGCGUAUAUUAAAGUUGUUGCAGUUAAAAAGCUCGUAGUUGAAUUUCGGGAUCAGUAGGUCGGUCAUGCCUCCGGUAUGUACUGGUCUCACUGGUUCCUCCUUCCUGAUGAACCGUAAUGCCAUUAAUUUGGUGUUGCGGGGAAACUGGACUGUUACUUUGAAAAAAUUAGAGUGUUUAAAGCAGGCUAACGCUUGAAUACAUUAGCAUGGAAUAAUGACAUAGGACGUUCGAUCCUAUUUUGUUGGUUUCUAGGAUUGACGUAAUGAUUAAUAGGGAUAGUUGGGGGCAUUAGUAUUCAAUUGUCAGAGGUGAAAUUCUUGGAUUUAUUGAAGACUAACUACUGCGAAAGCAUUUGCCAAGGAUGUUUUCAUUAAUCAAGAACGAAAGUUAGGGGAUCGAAGACGAUCAGAUACCGUCGUAGUCUUAACCAUAAACUAUGCCGACUAGGGAUCGGAUGAUGUUAAUUUUUUAAUGACUCAUUCGGCGCCUUACG
rnacentral:rRNA from 1 species